CCUACGGGUGGCAGCAGUGAGGAAUCUUGGUCAAUGGACGAGAGUCUGAACCAGCCAAGUAGCGUGAAGGAUUACUGCCCUAUGGGUUGUAAACUUCUUUUAUAUGGGAAUAAAACAGGGUAUGCAUACCCUCUUGUAUGUACCAUAUGAAUAAGGAUCGGCUAACUCCGUGCCAGCAGCCGCGGUAAUACGGAGGAUCCGAGCGUUAUCCGGAUUUAUUGGGUUUAAAGGGCGCGUAGGUGGAUUGUUAAGUCAGUUGUGAAAGUUUGGGGCUCAACCGUAAAAUUGCAGUUGAAACUGGCAGUCUAGAGUACAGUAGAGGUAGGCGGAAUUCGUGGUGUAGCAGUGAAAUGCUUAGAUAUCGCGAAGAACUCCGAUUGCGAAGGCAGCUCACUGGACUGCAACUGACACUGAUGCACGAAAGUGUGGGUAUCGAACAGGAUUAGAUACCCGUGUAGUC
rnacentral:rRNA from 1 species